GUACGCGGCAUCGACUCUGUCGUUGCCGAUGCUACCAGAAAGAUGACAAAACUUGAUCAUUUAGAGGAAGUAGAAGUCGUAACAAGGUUACGGUAGGUGAAGCUACGGAACGAUCAUUA
rnacentral:rRNA from 1 species